GCCCAAAGCAGUUAUUGAAGGCGCAGGAUCCCAGGGAAGGAAUGAAGAGCAGGAGGAGGAGGAAGAGGAGGGUGUUUUAGGCCAGGAGAACUAUGGGGUUUCUGUCGCUUCCACUCUUUCAGAUUUGCUGGCUCUUUCCUUCGAAGCCCGGGACAGCAGGCGAGCAGAUCCUCACCUUCCAGCUCGGUCUCUCUGGUGUUUUGGCAGAGGCGGCUCCAAUGCAUGGGCCAGACUCGGUCCCUGGCCAGGCCAACCCUGUCUCGGGAUCCUCUAGAAUGCAUCAGCUGGGCUUGGGAGCGAAGGGAGACGCCUGGAAGAGAAUUGUAUUGCUUCAUCCCCGAGGGCACCUAUGAGGACGCGGCUCUGGGAGCAGGGAUCUGGGCCCGGACGCGGGAAGAGGAGAACAGGGAGCAGGACCCAGGCGCGGGCUGGGGAUCAGAGCGCGGGAAGUGGGGAGCGGGUUCCGGGUUCAGACAGCGGGGCAUGGGAAGCCGGGCCACAGUAUACUCACCGCUGCGCAGCGUCCCGGUUGGCGGGCCGCGUAGGCCGGGCCGCCGCGGAAAGGAAAGGCCGGAGCCCUCCGGCUCCCUCCCCUGGGACACUUCCUGCACCGCUCUAGGACCGAGGAGGUCUCCUCAUCUCAGUGGUUCGCUUCCCCGCCUCCUGGCCGAGGUGUACGCGGGGGGGUGACAUCCGACACCCCCGGCCCGCCUGGACCGCCCCGCCCCGCCCCGCUCCGUGCUCUCCCGGCCUGGGCCCGGGGCCCGGGCUUUAGCUUUGUGGGCCUUCCUAGCGGGCUCGGGAUGCGCGCGCGCGCCCCGGCGGGACCCGGGCGCUGGGGGCCAGUUCGCGCGGCCACCAGCCAGGGAGGCCGGCUUGGGGCUUUGCUCUUCUCUGCUCCUCUUGUGUGGGCGCAGGGAAGGGCUGGUCUGGCGGCGCUGGCGAAAUGCCAGAAUUGGGAGGAGGAGGGAUGAGGUGUAAGGGGAUCUCCCAGUGACCAUUUGCAUCCCGUGUGUGCUGUUGUGCCCCAAUCCCUUCCAGCCGCAAUUCCAUUUCAAAGCCAACGCUGCCAGAGCCACCCAAAUCGGUAGGACUGGAGAAAUGCAGACCCAGCGAUCCACGGUGCUCGCCGAAGCAGCGGCCCGCGGCUUCGUGGCAUGGAGAUGAUCUACGAUUUCUCUGUUUAAGGAAGACUGUAGCACUCUGGGUCCCUCUGAGCACCAGGAUAGUCCUGGUACAUGGUAGGAAGUCACCCUUAAAGAAGGUGGUUUGAUAGAGACACCCCACCACCGGCAGACUUCGUGCUUCCGUUUCCUUCUAAUAAUUGGGACUGGGACAAUCUCUUCCGACUAGUAGAACCUGGAAUAGGGACUAAUAGACUGGAAUCGGAGCACCUGUGUUAAAUCACACCCAUCAAGGCGCAGUCAGGUGAUCUAAGGCCUGCGUGACCUCUCUGUGCUUCAGGGAUCGCAUUUGGAUGCAUGUGCAAGCUGUGCUGUAGCCACCUCAGGUCCUGAAUCUUUAGGACUUGCUGGAGCUCAUUGCUGAUCUAUUUUGGCAGGUACGGGAUACUCAAAGUAUUUAUCGUUCUCCUUGCUGUAUACAAUUGGUUCUAUUCUUUUGUAUGACUCCAAGAGGUUAAGUUACAUGUUCCUCUGAUGUUUGUGAUCCUGUGCGUCUAGCUGCCUCCGUAGUGUCACUGAUCUUACCUGAGCUCUCAUACUCAUUCUCUCUCACUUCUCUCCCCUCCUCCUGGUCCUCUUGCUUCCCUCCAGCCUCCUUUAGAACUCAUUAUCUUUUAGAGUAAUACCACCCUUAACCAGUAGUUUAACUCCCCACUCCCUCAAAGGGGACUCAUUUGUCUCACUAGUGCUUAUACAUGUGUUACUGUAAUAAAGUAAGUUUUUUAAAUGUAAAAAAAAAAAAAAAAAAAAA
rnacentral:lncRNA from 1 species